AGCAGCUUGGCGCAGUGGAAGCGCGGUAUGUUCUACUCCACAGUUGAAACUCAAAAAACCGUACUAACCCAUCCCAGCCGGGCUCAUAACCCGGAGGUCACUGGAUCGAAACCAGUAGCUGCUA